UACGAAGGGUGCAAGCGUUACUCGGAAUUACUGGGCGUAAAGCGUGCGUAGGUGGUUCGUUAAGUCUGAUGUGAAAGCCCUGGGCUCAACCUGGGAAUGGCAUUGGAAACUGGCGACCUAGAGUGCGGUAGAGGGUAGUGGAAUUCCCGGUGUAGCAGUGAAAUGCGUAGAGAUCGGGAGGAACAUCCGUGGCGAAGGCGACUACCUGGACCAGCACUGACACUGAGGCACGAAAGUGUGGGGAGCAAACAGG
rnacentral:rRNA from 1 species